UUUUAGUACGAAAGGACCA
rnacentral:sRNA from 1 species